CGCAAAUUUCGCUACGUCCGUGCGCGGUAAGAAUCACGUUUUCAGUUGUUUGACUAAAUAUAUUUUUGCGUUGGCGGCUGUCAUCGCAGCGGCGAAUACUGGGUGCGCAGUGCACGUGCAAGGCCGGCCUUGGUGGCGGUUGCAAACAUGUAGCUGCCGUCGUCCUGUUCGUCAACGAGGCCGACGCGCCGUCUUCGACUGAUCGCCCUCAAGGGUGGGGUCGGCCGUCCUCUAAGCCGGACACUUCUCGAAGGGAGUCCAUCGAAGAGCUUUUUGGAGUUGGCACAAAGAAAGGUCGGUAAGGAUAUCAAGCUCCAUCGCACACCGCAUCCUGACUAGGCAAAAGGCCUUCGAGUCCCUGGCCGAGCAGCUGCAGAACUCCAAAACACCACUUGUUCCGGCGCUGAUGUAUGGUACUGCUAUGGAACCAACAGCAAGGGCAACAUUCGAGAAAAAAAUUGGUGCCAAAGUAACCCAGGUUUGUAACUACGUUCAUCAUCAUCAUCAGCCUACUUUAUGUCCACAGCAGGCCGAAAGCCUCUCCCUGCGAUCUCCAAUUACCUCUGUCCUGCGCCAACAGAUUCCAACUAGCACCCGCAAAUUUCCAAAUUUCGUCGCACCACCUAGUCUUCUGCCGUCCUCUACUGCGCUUCCCUUCUCUUGGGACCUAUUCUGUCACCCUAAUGGUCCAACGGUUAUCUAAUCUGCGCAUUACAUGACCUGCCCAGCGCCAUUUUUUUCUCUUAAUGUCUAUUAGAAUAUUGUCUAUACCUAUUUCCUCUCUGAUCUAAACCAAUCUCUUUCUGUCUCUUAAAGUUAUGCCUAGCAUUCUUCAUUGCAUCGCUCUUUGCGCGGUGCUUAACUUGUUCUCAAGCUUCUUUGUCAGUCUCCAUGUCUCUGCCCCAUAUGUCAGCACCGGUAAAAUGUGCUGAUUGUAUACUUUUCUUUUCAGUGAUAACAGUAAGCUCCCAGUCAGGAGCUCAUGAUGUCUGCUGUAUGCGAUCCAACCCAUUUUUAUUCUGUGUAUUUCCUUCUCAUGGUUAGGGUUCCCUGUCAGGAGCUCAUGAUGUCUGCUGUAUGCGAUCCAACCCAUUUUUAUUCUGUGUAUUUCCUUCUCAUGGUUAGGGUUCCCUGUGAUUAGUUGACCUAGGUAAACGUACUCCUUCACAGACUGUAGAGGCUGACUGGCGAACCUGAACUCUUGUUCCCUUGCUCGGCUGCGUAUCUACAAUUGCUCGUAGGUAUAGCGGGGCGUGGCACUUGCGCAGAUGACGGAUGUUUGC